UUACGUCUGUAGUAAAAGAGGAUGAGAACCUCCGAAGGAGGUUUGCGCCGAGCGCAGCGAGACAACGUUGCGUAAGCAACGGCCCGCAGGGGAAUAAUCCUCUCUCGCCGACCA
rnacentral:sRNA from 2 species